AGCUUUGCGCAGUGGCGAUAUCGUAACCAAUGAGGUUCUACCGAGGUGCGAUUAUUGCUAGUUGAAAACUUUUACCAAUACCCCGCCAAGACGUUGUGAAAUACCAACGGCUACGGCAAUUUUUGACGGCCCUUACGAGGG
rfam:Nasonia vitripennis chromosome 1, whole genome shotgun sequence.